GAUGAUAAAAUCUAAAUACUUGAAUUGGUUGUAUUUUGGUACCAAAAUUCUAUUCAAUUGAACCUCCAUUCCAUUCCUUCUAUGAGAGUUUAAACUCACAAUUUAUAUAUUCUAUCAUAAUUCUACUUAGGCUGAAACCCUUAUUCUCAAGAGUCCUUCUCUACACCUACAAUUUUUAUUUAACUUUUUCAAUGGUUUCAUCCACAAAGAUUACAUCAUUUGCAAGUAACAUGCACCAUGAGACAUCAUUUUGAAUAUUCAUUCAUAACUAAGGUAAACAAGUACGGACUUAAAGCUAAUCCUUGAUGUAAACCCAUUGUUAUGGAAAAUCAUCUAUAUCCUUUCCCAUUGUUCUUACACUUGUAAC
rnacentral:misc_RNA from 1 species